GUAUCAAUAAGCGGAGGAAAAGAAACUAACAAGGAUUCCCCUAGUAACGGCGAGUGAAGCGGGAAUAGCUCAAAUUUGAAAUCCUACUGGUUUCCAGUAUGAAUUGUAGUUUAAAGAAGCACUUUCGAAGACGAACUAAGAUUAAGUUUCUUGGGAUGGAACAUCAUAGAGGGUGAGAAUCCCGUAUGUGUUUUAGAUUUGUUUUAUGUGAUGUGUUUUCAAAGAGUCGGGUUGUUUGGGAAUGCAGCCCAAAAUGGGUGGUAAAUACCAUCUAAAGCUAAAUAUUGGCGAGAGACCGAUAGCGCACAAGUA
rnacentral:rRNA from 1 species